GGACAAUAGUUGUGAUUUAUAAGACCAAAUUAGGCUGAAUGCAAUUCAUCAAAUAUUAACAUUGUUGCUUAAACCCAUAAUUCUCUUAACAAUUGAAUUUGAAUAAUUAAAAUGAUACGAAAGAAUAAAUAACUGAAUUCAAUCAUCACUUUCUUUAUCAAGAAACCAAGGACACUUGACUCAGCUUACAUGUUGGGUAGACUUAGCUUUAAUUUAGCUUACAUGUUGGGCAGACUUAGCUUACGUUAAUGGGUGUGUUGUACUUGUGGGAAUUGGGGAAAACGAAGGAGAAUGAAUCUUUGGGAUGUUUAGAGAUAGUUGAAGCUCAUUUGAUGAGGGGUGUUUGAGCCUAGCUUUGUGUUUACCGAAUUUGUGAAAGCUAACUUGAAGAAUUUCAUACUUUAGAAUCAUUGAAUUGUAUGAAUUAGAAAGAUAGUUCCUCAUUAUUAUCAUAUAACUAUAUCUUACAGGAGAAAAAAAGAGCCAAGAUUUAAAUUCUUAACUUUCUGCUUCUUUACAAAAGCAUGAUGAAUUAGUAACUUAAAAAAGAAAGAAAGACACAGAAACAACACAUGUAAUUGGGUCACCCAACAUUUGUUUGCUACCUUUGAAAGUUAUAUAUUCAUGCAAGACUAGUCUGGUAAUGGUGGUGGUGGUGGUAGAGGGACGUUGACAGCCACCCAUAUCAUAUUUCCUUAAUUUAUCUUGUUAAUUGAAGAGAAUUGAUUAGCCAUUUCAACUGUUCAAAUGUUGUUAUAGAUAUGUCACAAUCAAAUGACUUGUUUAAUUUCUCUUCUAUUCCUUCUUUGUUUUUAUCCCCCCCUUCCCUGUGAAAGGUAAAUUGUAAGGGAAGUGUAAUCAUUGAAGUUCCUUAAUCCUUUCCCUUCAGGUAACCUCAGGUUUCUAAAAUUUUAUGUAACUGAUAAAUUGGCAGCUUAGCAUUGAUUGUGCUUAUUUUUAUUCUGGCCUUCCAUUUUUUGCCAAAGUGUGGGCACUCAAAUUUCUUAGUUUUCGCCAGCAUUUGCUCGUUGAUGGGUUCUCUUUAGGUAAAUCAUUAAAUUAUUGUUGGCACUUUUUCUUUUUUUUUUUUAAUAUUUCUUUAUUGGAAGACCAAAUAUGUUGAUGGUGCAUUUCUUUGUUCAUUCUAAUUAGUUUUCCAAACUUAAAUUGAAUUAAAGAAAUCUUUUUUCUUAAAA
rnacentral:misc_RNA from 1 species